rnacentral:rRNA from 1 species
UACGGGGGGGGUAAGCGUUGUUCGGAAUUACUGGGCGUAAAGGGCUCGUAGGCGGCCAACUAAGUCAGACGUGAAAUCCCUCAGCUUAACUGGGGAACUGCGUCUGAUACUGGUUGGCUUGAGUGCAGGAGAGGAACGCGGAAUUCCAGGUGUAGCGGUGAAAUGCGCAGAUAUCAGGAGGAACACCAAUGGCGAAGGCAGCUCGCUGGGACGGUACUGACGCUGAGGCGCGAAAGCGUGGGGAGCAAACAGG